rnacentral:rRNA from 1 species
UACGUAGGGGGCAAGCGUUAUCCGGACUUACUGGGUGUAAAGGGAGCGUAGACGGAAUAGCAAGUUUGAAGUGAGAUACCUGGGCUUAACCCAGGAAUUGCUUUGAAAACUGUUAAUCUAGAGUACUGGAGGGGUGUGGGGAAUUCCUAGUGUAGUAGUGAAAUGCGUAGAUAUUAGGAGGAACACCGGAGGCGAAGGCGCCAUACUGGACAGAUACUGAUGUUGAGGCUCGAAGGCGUGGGGAGCAAAC